rnacentral:rRNA from 1 species
GAUGAACGCUGGCGGCGUGCCUAAUACAUGCAAGUCGAGCGAACAGACGAGGAGCUUGCUCCUCUGAUGUUAGCGGCGGACGGGUGAGUAACACGUGGGCAACCUGCCUCAUAGAGGGGAAUAGCCUUUCGAAAGGAAGAUUAAUACCGCAUAAGAUUGUAGCUUCGCAUGAAGUAGCAAUUAAAGGAGCAAUCCGCUAUGAGAUGGGCCCGCGGCGCAUUAGCUAGUUGGUGAGGUAACGGCUCACCAAGGCGACGAUGCGUAGCCGACCUGAGAGGGUGAUCGGCCACAUUGGGACUGAGACACGGCCCAGACUCCUACGGGAGGCAGCAGUGGGGAAUAUUGCACAAUGGGGGAAACCCUGAUGCAGCAACGCCGCGUGAGUGAUGACGGCCUUCGGGUUGUAAAGCUCUGUCUUCAGGGACGAUAAUGACGGUACCUGAGGAGGAAGCCACGGCUAACUACGUGCCAGCCGCCGCCGUAA